GAUAUGGCUCAGGAUGAACGCUGGCGGCGUGCUUAACACAUGCAAGUCGAACGAAGCACUCUAUUUGAUUUUCUUCGGAAAUGAAGAUUUUGUGACUGAGUGGCGGACGGGUGAGUAACGCGUGGGUAACCUGCCUCAUACAGGGGGAUAACAGUUGGAAACGACUGCUAAUACCGCAUAAGCGCACAGGAUUGCAUGAUCCGGUGUGAAAAACUCCGGUGGUAUGGGAUGGACCCGCG
rnacentral:rRNA from 1 species